AGCUAAUACCGCAUAACGUCGCAAGACCAAAGAGGGGGACCUUAGGGCCUCUUGCCAUCGGAUGUGCCCAGAUGGGAUUAGCUAGUAGGUGGGGUAAAGGCUCACCUAGGCGACGAUCCCUAGCUGGUCUGAGAGGAUGACCAGCCACACUGGAACUGAGACACGGUCCAGACUCCUACGGGAGGCAGCAGUGGGGAAUAUUGCACAAUGGGCGCAAGCCUGAUGCAGCCAUGCCGCGUGUAUGAAGAAGGCCUUCGGGUUGUAAAGUACUUUCAGCGGGGAGGAAGGGAGUAAAGUUAAUACCUUUGCUCAUUGACGUUACCCGCAGAAGAAGCACCGGCUAACUCCGUGCCAGCAGCCGCGGUAAUACGGAGGGUGCAAGCGUUAAUCGGAAUUACUGGGCGUAAAGCGCACGCAGGCGGUUUGUUAAGUCAGAUGUGAAAUCCCCGGGCUCAACCUGGGAACUGCAUCUGAUACUGGCAAGCUUGAGUCUCGUAGAGGGGGGUAGAAUUCCAGGUGUAGCGGUGAAAUGCGUAGAGAUCUGGAGGAAUACCGGUGGCGAAGGCGGCCCCCUGGACGAAGACUGACGCUCAGGUGCGAAAGCGUGGGGAGCAAACAGGAUUAGAUACCCUGGUAGUCCACGCCGUAAACGAUGUCGACUUGGAGGUUGUGCCCUUGAGGCGUGGCUUCCGGAGCUAACGCGUUAAGUCGACCGCCUGGGGAGUACGGCCGCAAGGUUAAAACUCAAAUGAAUUGACGGGGGCCCGCACAAGCGGUGGAGCAUGUGGUUUAAUUCGAUGCAACGCGAAGAACCUUACCUGGUCUUGACAUCCACGGAAGUUUUCAGAGAUGAGAAUGUGCCUUCGGGAACCGUGAGACAGGUGCUGCAUGGCUGUCGUCAGCUCGUGUUGUGAAAUGUUGGGUUAAGUCCCGCAACGAGCGCAACCCUUAUCCUUUGUUGCCAGCGGUCCGGCCGGGAACUCAAAGGAGACUGCCAGUGAUAAACUGGAGGAAGGUGGGGAUGACGUCAAGUCAUCAUGGCCCUUACGACCAGGGCUACACACGUGCUACAAUGGCGCAUACAAAGAGAAGCGACCUCGCGAGAGCAAGCGGACCUCAUAAAGUGCGUCGUAGUCCGGAUUGGAGUCUGCAACUCGACUCCAUGAAGUCGGAAUCGCUAGUAAUCGUGGAUCAGAAUGCCACGGUGAAUACGUUCCCGGGCCUUGUACACACCGCCCGUCACACCAUGGGAGUGGGUUGCAAAAGAAGUAGGUAGCUUAACCUUCGGGAGGGCGCUUACCACUUUGUGAUUCAUGACUGGGGUGAAGUCGUAACAAGGUAACCGUAGGGGAACCUGCGGUUGGAUCACCUCCUUACCUUAAAGAAGC
rnacentral:rRNA from 1 species